rnacentral:rRNA from 1 species
CAACUCGCCUGCACGAAGUCGGAAUUGCUAGUAAUCGUAGGUCAGCAUACUACGGUGAAUACGUUCCCGGGCCUUGUACACACCGCCCGUCAAACCAUGAGAGUUGGCAACACCCGAAGUCGGUAGUCUAACCGCAAGGAGGACGCCGCCGAAGGUGGGGUUGAUGAUUAGGGUUAAGUCGUAACAAGGUAUC